rnacentral:lncRNA from 1 species
UUGAUUUCCACAUUGGACCAAUCUUCGGUGGCCAUGGACAUUUCCCAGUGAGAACAUGCUUAUGCAUGUAGCAUGACGAUGUUUCACAACCCAACAUGCCUUGCGUGGAUUGGAGGCUAAUAGCAAUGUCUCCGUCCCUGACCAGGUCAAACUGGAAUUUGAAGUGGCUUAACACAGAUUCCGACAUUGGAAUGCCACUGUCAUGCAAGAAUUCAACAAUUACCGAUAUCAUCGGCACUCGAACGUCGUGGGGCAAAAGAUAUUGUUAGAUUUGAAAUUGCUAGC